UGGUUCGUAGCUCAAUGGUAGAGCAUCCGACUGUUAAUCGGAGGGUUGUAGGUUCGAGUCCUAUCGUUCCAGCCA
rnacentral:tRNA from 1 species